rnacentral:rRNA from 1 species
UGGGGAAUUUUGGACAAUGGGCGAAAGCCUGAUCCAGCAAUGCCGCGUGUGUGAAGAAGGCCUUCGGGUUGUAAAGCACUUUUGUCCGGAAAGAAAUCCUUGGCUCUAAUACAGUCGGGGGAUGACGGUACCGGAAGAAUAAGCACCGGCUAACUACGUGCCAGCAGCCGCGGUAAUACGUAGGGUGCAAGCGUUAAUCGGAAUUACUGGGCGUAAAGCGUGCGCAGGCGGUUUGCUAAGACCGAUGUGAAAUCCCCGGGCUCAACCUGGGAACUGCAUUGGUGACUGGCAGGCUAGAGUAUGGCAGAGGGGGGUAGAAUUCCACGUGUAGCAGUGAAAUGCGUAGAGAUGUGGAGGAAUACCGAUGGCGAAGGCAGCCCCCUGGGCCAAUACUGACGCUCAUGCACGAAAGCGUGGGGAGCAAACAGGAUUAGAUACCCUGGUAGUCCACGCCCUAAACGAUGUCAACUAGUUGUUGGGGAUUCAUUUCCUUAGUAACUAGCUAACGCGUGAAGUUGACCGCCUGGGGAGUAGGUCGCAAGAUUAAAACUCAAAGGAAUUGACGGGGUCAUAGCUGUUUCCU